GACGAACGCUGGCGGCGUGCUUAACACAUGCAAGUCGAACGGUGAAGCUCCAGCUUGCUGGAGUGGAUCAGUGGCGAACGGGUGAGUAACACGUGGGCAACCUGCCCCUGACUCUGGAAUAAGCGCUGGAAACGGCGUCUAAUACUGGAUACGAGAAGGGUCCGCAUGGGCACUUUCUGGAAAGUUUUUCGGUUGGGGAUGGGCUCGCGGCCUAUCAGCUUGUUGGUGAGGUAAUGGCUCACCAAGGCGACGACGGGUAGCCGGCCUGAGAGGGCGACCGGCCACACUGGGACUGAGACACGGCCCAGACUCCUACGGGAGGCAGCAGUGGGGAAUAUUGCACAAUGGGCGAAAGCCUGAUGCAGCGACGCCGCGUGAGGGAUGACGGCCUUCGGGUUGUAAACCUCUUUCAGCAGGGAAGAAGCGAAAGUGACGGUACCUGCAGAAGAAGCACCGGCUAACUACGUG
rnacentral:rRNA from 1 species